UACGUAGGGGGCGAGCGUUGUCCGGAUUCAUUGGGCGUAAAGAGCUCGUAGGCGGCUUGGCAAGUCGGGUGUGAAAACUCCAGGCUCAACCUGGAGACGCCACCCGAUACUGCCAUGGCUUGAGUCCGGUAGGGGACCACGGAAUUCCUGGUGUAGCGGUGAAAUGCGCAGAUAUCAGGAGGAACACCGGUGGCGAAGGCGGGUCUCUGGGCCGAUACUGACGCUGAGGAGCGAAAGCGUGGGGAGCGAACAGG
rnacentral:rRNA from 1 species